UACGAAGGGGGCUAGCGUUGCUCGGAAUCACUGGGCGUAAAGCGCACGUAGGCGGGUCUUUAAGUCAGGGGUGAAAUCCUGGAGCUCAACUCCAGAACUGCCCUUGAUACUGAAGAUCUUGAGUUCGGGAGAGGUGAGUGGAACUGCGAGUGUAGAGGUGAAAUUCGUAGAUAUUCGCAAGAACACCAGUGGCGAAGGCGGCUCACUGGCCCGAUACUGACGCUGAGGCACGAAAGCGUGGGGAGCAAACAGG
rnacentral:rRNA from 1 species